CAACUCGAGGUGGAUCGCCGCCGCGGGCUGCGGUGCCGUCGCCAAACCAGAAUUCUGAAAUUGGCCGAGUGGGCCAUGGGUAUGAUUUUUGGGUUUAUUUGGGAUACCUGUAGGUACCAUAAGCGCAUUUCAGUUCCCAAAGAAAAAUUCAGGGAACCUAGGGACCGCCCGUAGGCGCAGUAACCAUCUAGUUUUCAGUGUCAAAUCAAGUAAG
rnacentral:lncRNA from 1 species